AUACUUACCUGGCCAGGGAGAUGCCAUGAUCAUGAAUGUGGUUUUCCCAGGGCAAGGCUUAUCCAUUGCACUCAGGAUGUGCUGACCCCUGUGAUUUCCCCAAACUCAACUGCAUAAUGGCCAGUCAGAUUUGGGAGCGUCUGGC
ensembl:snRNA U1 U1 spliceosomal RNA